AACAUCGCGCACCUGCGGGAACCUGCGGAGGGAUCAUUACCGAGUUUACAACUCCCAAACCCCCAUGUGAACGCUACCGAACCGUUGCCUCGGCGGGGACUCUGCCCCGGGCGCGUCGCAGCCCCGGACCAAGGCGCCCGCCGGAGGAACAAAAAAACACUCCGAUUGCGUGCCCGCCCAGCGGGACACUAUUUUCUUGACCUCUGAGCCUCUCCCGGCGCCCCCCGCGGGCGCCACGGA
rnacentral:misc_RNA from 1 species